rnacentral:rRNA from 1 species
GUACGGGGGGGGGCAAGCGUUGUUCGGAAUUACUGGGCGUAAAGGGCGCGUAGGCGGUUUGCUAAGUUGAAUGUGAAAACUCUGGGCUUAACCCAGAGCCUGCAUUCAAUACUGGCAGGCUAGAGUUCUGGAGGGGAUAGCGGAAUUCCUGGUGUAGCGGUGAAAUGCGUAGAUAUCAGGAGGAACACCGGUGGCGAAGGCGGCUAUCUGGACAGAGUCUGACGCUGAGGCGCGAAAGCUAGGGGAGCAAACAGG